AACGAACGCUGGCGGCAGGCUUAACACAUGCAAGUCGAACGCCCCGCAAGGGGAGUGGCAGACGGGUGAGUAACGCGUGGGAACAUACCCUUUCCUGCGGAAUAGCUCCGGGAAACUGGAAUUAAUACCGCAUACGCCCUACGGGGGAAAGAUUUAUCGGGGAAGGAUUGGCCCGCGUUGGAUUAGCUAGCUGGUAGGGUAAAGGCCUACCAAGGCGACGAUCCAUAGCUGGUCUGAGAGGAUGAUCAGCCACAUUGGGACUGAGACACGGCCCAAACUCCUACGGGAGGCAGCAGUGGGGAAUAUUGGACAAUGGGCGGAAGCCUGAUCCAGCCAUGCCGCGUGAGUGAUGAAGGCCUUCGGGUUGUAAAGCUCUUUCGCACGCGACGAUGAUGACGGUAGCGUGAGAAGAAGCCCCGGCUAACUUCGUGCCAGCCGCCGCGGUAAAAC
rnacentral:rRNA from 1 species